UCUCGACCUCAGAUCAGGUGGGACUCCCCGCCGAAUUUAAGCAUAUUAGUAAGCGGAGGAAAAGAAACUAACGAGGAUUCCCCCAGUAGCUGCGAGCGAACAGGGAAGAGCCCAGCACUGAAUCCCAAAGGCCUCGCCUUUCGGGAGAUGUGGUGUUUUGGAGUGCCCGAUCAACCCGGGGUUCGUGCACCGCGUUCAAGUCCAUCUUGAACGGGGCCACGGUCCGAAGAGGGUGCCAGGCCCGUAGCUGACCGGUGCCGGCCCCGGGUGGGCUCCUCCUUAGAGUCGGGCUGCUUGAGAGUGCAGCCCUAAGCGGGUGGUAAACUCCAUCUAAGGCUAAAUACAACCACGAGACCGAUAGAGAACAAGUACCGUGAGGGAAAGUUGAAAAGAACUUUGAAGAGAGAGUUCAAGAGUACGUGAAACCGCUCAGGGGUAAACGGAAAAGACCCGAAACACCGAAACGAGAGAUUCACGUCUUCUCGAAGGAGUCGACCUCCAUCGGGAGGAUGGCCUAACGCCCCGUCCGGCUCGUCCGUGGCGGUGGGUAGGCUGCCUCCCGCGGGGUGUUCGGCUUCUCGGGGGCCCGCACUUCUCUCGCAGUAGGACGUCGCGACCCGCUCAGCGGCGGUCUAACGGCCGGAAGAGUGCCUGGCCGGGGCCCAUCUCUCGGGGUGGGUUCUCGACCAGCUCUCCGGAUCCGCGGCCGUCGGUCCGGGCGGUAUGAAACGACUUUAGCGCUGGGCCGCUCCUCGAGAGCGCCGAGCCUCCCCGCAAGCUCGGGUCGGGAUGCCGGGUCGUGCCCUCACGGGUACGCUCGGCGCCCGCCCGGACUGUUGGCGGGUGACGGCUCCGGCUGUCCGUCCAGCACGCUUGUCGGCGGCGCUUCAGAUUCGGGCACUUAUCCGACCCGUCUUGAAACACGGACCAAGGAGUCUAGCGUGUGCGCGAGUCAUUGGGUGUAAAACCUAAAGGCGUAAUGAAAGUGUCAGAGGGCGCCCCGCGCCCUCAGUGGGAGGAUGGGCUCCCGGACCUCCGUCCGGUGCCCCGCACUCCCGGGGCGUUUCAUUCUCAUUGCGAGUCGAGACGCACCAGGAGCGCACACGCUGGUACCCGAAAGAUGGUGAACUAUGCCUGGCCAGGACGAAGCCAGGGGAAACCCUGGUGGAGGUCCGAAGCGAUUCUGACGUGCAAAUCGAUCGUCUGAGCUGGGUAUAGGGGCGAAAGACCAAUCGAACCAUCUAGUAGCUGGUUCCCUCCGAAGUUUCCCUCAGGAUAGCUGGCUCUCGGGAAGAGACGAGUCUCAUCCGGUAGAGCGAAUGAUUAGAGGUGAUGGGGUCGAAACGACUUCAACCUAUUCUCAAACUCCCAAUAGAUGAGAGCCCCGGCUUGCUUGAAAGUGAAGCCGCGGGACUCGGAUCAGAGGUGCCAAGUGGGCCAAUUUUGGUAAGCAGAACUGGCGCUGUGGGAUGAACCAAACGCAGAGUUAAGGCGCCUGAUUCGACGCUCAUCUGAAACCAUGAAAGGCGUUGGUUGCUUAAGACAGCAGGACGGUGGCCAUGGAAGUCGGAAUCCGCUAAGGAGUGUGUAACAACUCACCUGCCGAAGCAACUAGCCCUGAAAAUGGAUGGCGCUGUAGCGUCGUGCCUAUACUCUGCCGUCAACGGCAAAGCGGGCGGCCCUUUACGGGGCGUCGCCGUUAAGCCUUGACGAGUAGGAGGGUCGCGGCGGUGUGCGCGGAAGGGUCUGGGCGUGAGCCCGCCUGGAGCCGCCGCCGGUGCAGAUCUUGGUGGUAGUAGCAAAUACUCCAGCGAGGCCCUGGAGGACUGAUGUGGAGAAGGGUUUCUUGUGAACAGCUGUUGCACAAGAGUCAGUCGAUCCUAAGCCCUAGGAGAAAUCCGAAGCGAUGGUCUGCCGUUAAGUUCUCUA
rnacentral:rRNA from 1 species